AAGUCGUAACAAGGUUUCCGUAGGUGAACCUGCGGAAGGAUCAUUUGCAGUGAGUGGGAGUGGGGAUAGUGUUGUGGGUGGGGUGGCAGUGUUGAGACGCUGCUGCUCUGUUGCCUGCACGUGUGCGUAAGUGUGUGACUGAACAGAUUUGAAAGGAGAUAACUUUUAACAAUGGAUCUCUGGGCUCUU
rnacentral:misc_RNA from 1 species